ACGGAGGGGGCAAGCGUUAUUCGGAAUCAUUGGGCGUAAAGGGCGCGUAGGCGGCCUGGCAAGUCAAAGGUGAAAUCCCUCGGCCCAACCGAGGAACCGCCUUUGAAACUGCAAGGCUUGAGGCCGGGAGAGGGUAGCGGAAUUCCCAGUGUAGCGGUGAAAUGCGUAGAUAUUGGGAGGAACACCAGUGGCGAAGGCGGCUACCUGGACCGGUUCUGACGCUGAGGCGCGAAAGCGUGGGGAGCAAACAGGA
rnacentral:rRNA from 1 species